CGUCCGGCCGACCGGCGCACGGUGAGUAACACGUAUGCAACCUGCCCUCUUCAGGGGGACGAACCUUCCGAAAGGGAGGCUAAUCCCGCGUAUAUCGGUUUCGGGCAUCCGAGAUCGAGGAAAGAUUCAUCGGAAGAGGAUGGGCAUGCGGCGCAUUAGCUAGACGGCGGGGUAACGGCCCACCGUGGCGACGAUGCGUAGGGGUUCUGAGAGGAAGGUCCCCCACACUGGUACUGAGACACGGACCAGACUCCUACGGAAGGCAGCAG
rnacentral:rRNA from 1 species